GGGCAUUUGGGGGAUACUGAGACUAAUAUCCAAGCCAUAGCAAUGUGGGAGAAAACCAAGCCACUGCCACCUAGCCAAGAGGAGAGGAAACCCAGGCUGUGCUCACACAGGGCACAGCUUAUGCAACUUGUCCUCAAGCCCUUUAGAUCAUCAGAUGUGACAGUGAUGAGGUGAGCACAUAGUGUUUAACAAGAAAUCGAAUCUUUAAAUGUUAUAUGUGACACUAAAACUGGCUGCUCUGUUAAUCAGAGAACUAUCCCGGUUUCACAAUUCUAACACAAGUUUUCUCACAUAAACUUGGCCUGUUGAAGAGAACGUCCUACCACCCAACUCUCAAUAUAUUGAAGUUUAUUAAAGAAAAAAAAAACCACCAGGUCAGGUGACUCCUAUCAUUAUCUUCUCUAGGUUCAAUGCUUUAACCAUGGGAAACAGAGCUGCAUUAAGCAAGAAUUUUGCUAUCACUGAGAAAAUCUGCUCAUUAAGUUUGCCAGAAGAUGUCCUGCCUCCCAGCCAAAAUGACAGGCUUGUGAAUCCCACGCCAGUGGGUGUGGGUGGCAUAUCAGUCUUUCGUCUUUGAAGGUAGAUGAUGCAAGCCGGUAACAGGAAAGGGCUUUGACAACCUCUUUCAGUCCUGUCUUUACAAAUGGAGGCUGUUCUGACUUUGAAGAAAACCUUGGGAGUAAAGAGAAGGGCUCUAGCUUACGUCCUGGGAUGUAGACAGACGCACUUUGUUUCUUCCCAAUACAUCAUCUCAGGGGAGGAAAAGGUCAUGGGAAGGCUGCCUGCUGACAUCCACUUUGCAUUUUCAUUCUUCGAUCAACUUCUCAUGAGGU
rnacentral:lncRNA from 1 species